CAUUUGUUGUGUGUACUUCUGCAUAUAAUUACCGAAAUCCGUAGCUUUUAUUCCUUAUUUUUGCUAGUUUUCAUCCAGUUGUUAGGUAGAUGUUAGGUAGCUGUUGAGAAGCAUGACAUCACAUCUACGAGGACAAGAUCCGCUAUGAUUUGUUCAAAAAAAAAUUGAUUGUGUAUUUUUCUUAUUUUUAAUAGCCCUGACGUUGCAUAUAUAAGAAACGUUGAUGUAAUUGAGAAACCUUGGGAACAAGAAAUUUGCAAAUUUUCAUUAUUGUCUCCACUUGCUUUUAUUCUUUUUAUGUGUCUCUGCCUUCACUAUCUUGGGAUAAAAAAAAAAUCUGAGAGAAUGGGUUUAGGGGCUAUAGGAUCAGAUCGUUUUUUGUGGGUUUGGUCCUGAAGAGCAAGAUGCGUUUGAAUAGUAUCUGCAUAAUGACUGAGCCAAAGCCGAUGUGGGACAAAUAGAGCGCAAGUUCUGACUCUUUACUCCUCCUGAAAUUAGUCCAGACGUUUCUUACACGUUAGGUCUCACUGAUUUUUGUCUGCAGGGGAUCUUGGGCAAGAUUUUGACUCAAGAAUAUAACUUUAACACAUUACACGAAUAGCCCACGAAAGGGCAAGCGGAUUAUUUUGUUGGAGGUCUCUCUCAAGGUGAUCGAUUAUCCAAAGAAUACGUGAGGAAAAUUUGAUGAAAGAAGCUCAACAUAUCUGAGGGCCUUUCUUUGGAUAACCAAGAAAAUAGAUCGUGUGUCCAAAGAUCAUUUAUGUUGUGUUAGAUCUUGUUCUGGUUUGGUUUUGAACAGCUUAGUGUUGCUCUGUAAUGGAUGCAUAACCAGUAGAUAUGUCAGGAGAUUAUAAGGAAACGUUAUGUUGCCUCGUGAUAGCGAUGUUCCUUCAAAUCGUCUGACAUAUCUACUGCUUAUGCCACCAUUACAGAACAGCACCAAGAUGUUCAGAACCAAACCCAGAACAAGAACAACGGAGCAUAAAAUCUGAUCAUCAGACAAACGACCCUUUGAUUUUUUUUCCCCAAAAAGGGGGAAAUCCUUUGUAAAACUUGAAUCCGGAAUUCGAAAAAUAUUGGCAUAAAUGUCAUUUAUUUUGGUAUUAGCACUUGACCAAAAAAAAACAAUUUGGUAUUAGCACAUUUUUUAUUAUUACAAUCAAUACAAUUAAAACA